AGUGAACGCUGGCGGUAGGCCUAACACAUGCAAGUCGAACGGCAGCACAGUAAGAGCUUGCUCUUACGGGUGGCGAGUGGCGGACGGGUGAGGAAUACAUCGGAAUCUACUUUUUCGUGGGGGAUAACGUAGGGAAACUUACGCUAAUACCGCAUACGACCUACGGGUGAAAGCAGGGGAUCUUCGCACCUUGCGCGAUUGAAUGAGCCGAUGUCGGAUUAGCUAGUUGGCGGGGUAAAGGCCCACCAAGGCGACGAUCCGUAGCUGGUCUGAGAGGAUGAUCAGCCACACUGGAACUGAGACACGGUCCAGACUCCUACGGGAGGCAGCAGUGGGGAAUAUUGGACAAUGGGCGCAAGCCUGAUCCAGCCAUACCGCGUGGGUGAAGAAGGCCUUCGGGUUGUAAAGCCCUUUUGUUGGGAGAGAAAAGCAGCAGGUUAAUACCCCGCUGUUCUGACGGUACCCAAAGAAUAAGCACCGGCUAACUUCGUG
rnacentral:rRNA from 1 species